rnacentral:rRNA from 1 species
GUGGGGAAUCUUAGACAAUGGGGGAAACCCUGAUCUAGCCAUGCCGCGUGAGCGUUGAAGGCCUUAGGGUUGUAAAGCUCUUUCAGAGGGGAAGAUAAUGACGGUACCCUCAGAAGAAGCCCCGGCUAACUCCGUGCCAGCAGCCGCGGUAAUACGGAGGGGGCUAGCGUUGUUCGGAAUUACUGGGCGUAAAGCGCACGUAGGCGGACCAGAAAGUCAGGGGUGAAAUCCCGGGGCUCAACCCCGGAACUGCCUUUGAAACUCCUGGUCUUGAGGUCGAGAGAGGUGAGUGGAAUUCCGAGUGUAGAGGUGAAAUUCGUAGAUAUUCGGAGGAACACCAGUGGCGAAGGCGGCUCACUGGCUCGAUACUGACGCUGAGGUGCGAAAGCGUGGGGAGCAAACAGGAUUAGAAACCCGGGUAGUCC